rnacentral:rRNA from 1 species
ACCUACGGGGGGCAGCAGUCGGGAAUAUUGCGCAAUGGAGGAAACUCUGACGCAGUGACGCCGCGUAUAGGAAGAAGGUUUUCGGAUUGUAAACUAUUGUCGUUAGGGAAGAUAAAAGACUGUACCUAAGGAGGAAGCCCCGGCUAACUACGUGCCAGCAGCCGCGGUAAUACGUAGGGGGCAAGCGUUAUCCGGAUUUACUGGGUGUAAAGGGAGCGUAGACGGCAUAGCAAGUCUGAAGUGAAAGCCCGUGGCUCAACCGCGGAACUGCUUUGGAAACUGUUAAGCUGGAGUACUGGAGAGGC